rnacentral:lncRNA from 1 species
GCUGUUUUCUUCAUAGAAAUAUCAUAAAACGUUAACCUGAUUGGGUAGACCACCUGUGUCUCCAGCAGGGCUCAGCAGUUUCUUAAUUAAGUGAUUAUUUAGUAUUUUUACUGUAGAAGUUUGCAUACAGUGCAUUAUUUUCUCUAUCUUACAAGGUCUUCUGUUUUUAUUCAGGUGCAGUAAAUCAGGGAGAGAUAAGACUGCUUGCAGUUGUCAAGCUACAGCACCUUAAGAUAACAGGCAGUGCACAUUGUACUGCUCUGAUACUACAGAGAAGGAAGGUAUCCUGGAGGUAUCUAUGUGGAUAUUUAAACCUCUUACCAGUGCUUCUGAGUUGUACCUAAUUGGAUAUCAACUUCUGACUAAUAUUAUCAGGAAAGUAUCUGCAGCUGCUGUUGAUCUAGACUUCAGGGCCCAGUUCAUCAUCCACUUAUUCCAUGUUUACUGUCUUAUAACAUCUACGAAAUCAGAAGUACUAAAGCCAGUAUAAAAUGGAGGAAUGUAGCAGUGAACUGUAUUACUGCCCUCAGUGUAAACCAUACAGCUUAUUUGCACCUGUUUCUUGUAAGUGAAAGUAAUCACUUCCUAGCAGGAUUAAAUGGUUGUGCUUUAUAAUUUAUAAACUCAUGAAAUCUACUCGUCUUCCCUCUUAAUAUUUUCUUAGACUUUUUCCUCACAGAAACCAAGGUAAUACAAACACCUGCUUAUUAUUAUUCUGGUUUUAGUUAAGUAUCUGCAUAAGUGUCCACAAAGAGGACAGCUGGUUGGCCACACUGUUCCCGAUUCAUUUUAUUUACAUGCCAACAAUGGUUUUCUCCCAUGCUUUUUCCUUAUGUGACAAAUCUGGUUGCCAAAAUGCUAAACUGAAAGGCCCAGCAGGGCUUUCAACUAUCUGCCUGCCAAGCAAUUGUUGCAGCUUCACAAACACCAAAGGACAUCUGCAGAAUCAUAGAGCAGUAGUGAAGCCAGGAUGAAUGCUGAGUGACAUGGUAAGAGAGAGAACUUUUACCUUGCUUUCUGGUAGUUUUUUAUUUCAAGCAUGAUGUUCUUCC